GCGACGAACCCCGCUGAACUUAAUCAUAUCACUAAGCAGAAGAAAAGAAACCGAUUUGGAUGC
rnacentral:rRNA from 1 species